rnacentral:rRNA from 1 species
GAUGAACGCUAGCGGCAGGCUUAAUACAUGCAAGUCGAGGGACAGCACAGGUAGCAAUACUGGGUGGUAACCGGCAAACGGGUGCGGAACACGUACACAACCUUCCUUUAAGUGGGGGAUAGCCCAGAGAAAUUUGGAUUAAUACCCCGUAAUAUAGUUGAAUGGCAUCAUUUGAUUAUUAUAGCUACGGCGCUUAAUGAUGGGUGUGCGGCUGAUUAGAUAGUUGGCGGGGUAACGGCCCACCAAGUCUACGAUCAGUAGCUGAUGUGAGUGCAUGAUCAGCCACACGGGCACUGAGACGCGGGCCCGACUCCUACGGGAGGCAGCAGUAAGGAAUAUUGGUCAAUGGACGCAAGUCUGAACCAGCCAUGCCGCGUGAAGGAUUAAGGUCCUCUGGAUUGUAAACUUCUUUUAUUUGGGACGAAAAAGGGCCUUUCUAGGUCAACUGACGGUACCAGAUGAAUAAGCACCGGCUAACUCCGUGCCAGCCGCCGCCGUAAUAC